ACAAUGCCAAUGUCGAAAGUGGCGGGGUUUUGGACACGAUUUCAAGUCAGAUGUGAAAGUGCUAAGAUUGUAAAAGGAGUGACAAUAUGACAUUCGUACACUGAUUAAAACGUUGAAAUUAUCUAAUUGACUUACUUCGUUCAAUUUUAAAGAAAUUUAAAUAUUUUUGACCAAGGAUACACUUUAAGACAAUGAAGCUUCUUGCCAUCACGUGCUUGCUGAUUGUUUCGUCAUUGAUGACGUCACAUGCAGCCCCGCGGGUCCAAAACCCGUGAACUGUGACCUUGUUUGCGCGAGCCCGCACGAGCAUGACGAGAGCCUGGCCUCACAUUGUGGAUGUGACCCACAUUCGCACCGGCACAACCACACAAGCGCCGUACCAGUCCAGCUUUCUCACACCACCACUCUCUCUAUGUGCGACUAUCUCUGCUCUAUACAGAUGGGCGGGGCCGCGUGUGAUUGCUCCGCUCCAAUCCUGCCAGGAAAAUAGACUGGUUCCCCUUUCUAAUUCUUCGACCCCGUCGCGUAGGGGUGGUUGACCGUUGCCGUUUAUGUUACCCCAUAAAACACACUUUCAUCCAGGAAACUAUCUUUUCUUGACAAUAGGCUGGUUAUGCAUUUUGUUUUCGCAACCAAUAAGUAUAAUAGAAGUCUGGGCUGAAAUUCAAUAUUGGUCUUAAUUAGAUCAAAGAACGAUGUAGCUAAUCGGAUUACUUGUUAUAAAUAACUGACCAAUAGAGUAAAUGGAGUCAAUGAUAUAUGACUCGAAGAUUAACUUAAGUUGCAUAUUAAAUACCACCCCUGGCCCCAUUUUCUCGAAACUUCCAUAGCUUAACAGGUUUAAGUAGCUUAUUUCAAUCAACCAAAAUACAUACUUAAAUUGGAUGUUGAUACAUGAAAAAUGUUUAAUUGUGAUUACAAUGAAAAUAAUUCCUUUCUAAAGAAUAAAAACUCUCAAAGAAGUAAAUAGUUUGCAAAUAAUUGAAAAGAAAAAAUAGUGAGCUUAGUUUAAUCCUGUUAUAAAAGACUUAAGAAGUUCUGAGAAAUUGGGGUUUGGUUUCUUUUAUUCAUUGAAAGCUUAUUUGUGACGGAGUUUGAUUGGUUUUGGAAAUAGUCAUCUUGUACAAUUUGGGAGUGGUAAAAAUGCAGGGGCGUACCAGGAAAUGAUGUAAGAGGGGGCAUAACUUAGGGGCACAACAUUUUGAUAUGCGCCCCUCCUUCAGAACCAAAGAAUUUAAAUAGUUUAAAAUGUUAGCAAGAAUUUGGGACCCAAAGAAAUUUUAACAAUUCCUGGACCGUUAUGGUGCAAUUAGAGCGUAUUUAAUUACUUUUUCUCUUCGAUAUUGACAUAAAAAAUAAACUUGGAUGAUCCCCCAAGGAUCCGCUAGUGCAAAAGUGUGCCUCAUGUUGAAAAAUGUCUGUAUGUAUAUAUGUAUUUUAACAGUUCAUUCAGGACCCGAUAAAUGUCAUUCCAGAAUAAAACUCACAUAUCAUAUAGUUUUCUUCUUCUAGUAUUUGGGUACCAUUUAUAGUAUGUAUUGAGGAUAUUUAUAUAUCAUACCAUAUUAUGAAAAAUUCAUGUACGCAUUUAUUUAA